rnacentral:rRNA from 1 species
UACAGAGGUCCCGAGCGUUGUUCGGAUUUAUUGGGCGUAAAGGGUGCGUAGGUGGCAAAGUAAGUUGGAUGUGAAAUCCUGGGGCUUAACCUCAGAAUUGCAUUCAAUACUGCUUAGCUAGAGAGCUGUAGAGGAGACUGGAAUUUACGGUGUAGCAGUGAAAUGCGUAGAUAUCGUAAGGAACGCCAGUGGCGAAAGCGAGCCUCUGGGCAGCAUCUGACACUGAGGCACGAAGGCCAGGGGAGCAAACGGG